rnacentral:tRNA from 1 species
GUCCCCGUCGUCUAGUGGUUAGGACACCGGCUUUUCAAGCCGGCAGCACGGGUUCGAUCCCCGUCGGGGAUGCCA